rnacentral:rRNA from 1 species
UACGAAGGGGGCUAGCGUUGCUCGGAAUCACUGGGCGUAAAGCGCACGUAGGCGGGUUGCCAAGUCGGGGGUGAAAUCCUGGAGCUCAACUCCAGAACUGCCUUCGAUACUGGUGAUCUUGGAGUCCGGGAGAGGUGAGUGGAACUGCGAGUGUAGAGGUGAAAUUCGUAGAUAUUCGCAAGAACACCAGUGGCGAAGGCGGCUCACUGGCCCGGUACUGACGCUGAGGUGCGAAAGCGUGGGGAGCAAACAGG